GACGAACGCUGGCGGCGUGCUUAACACAUGCAAGUCGAACGGAAAGGCCCUGCUUGCAGGGUACUCGAGUGGCGAACGGGUGAGUAACACGUGGGUGAUCUGCCCUGCACUUCGGGAUAAGCCUGGGAAGCUGGGUCUAAUACCGGAUAGGAGCCAUUUUUAGUGUGAUGGUUGGAAAGUUUUUUCGGUGUAGGAUGAGCUCGCGGCCUAUCAGCUUGUUGGUGGGGUAAUGGCCUACCAAGGCGGCGACGGGUAGCCGGCCUGAGAGGGUGGACGGCCACAUUGGGACUGAGAUACGGCCCAGACUCCUACGGGAGGCAGCAGUGGGGAAUAUUGCACAAGGGGCGCAAGCCUGAUGCAGCGACGCCGCGUGGGGGAUGACGGCCUUCGGGUUGGAAACUCCUUUCGCUAGGGACGAAGCUUUUUGUGACGGUACCUAGAUAAGAAGCACCGGCUAACUACGUG
rnacentral:rRNA from 1 species